rnacentral:rRNA from 1 species
AUUGAACGCUGGCGGCAGGCUUACCACAUGCAAGUCGAACGCGUGGCGGACGGGCGAGUAAUGCUUGGGAAUCUAGCUUAUGGAGGGGGAUAACUACGGGAAACUGUAGCUAAUACCGCGUACCAUAGGAUGAGCCCAAGUGGGAUUAGGUAGUUGGUGUUGUAAAGGAUCACCAGGCCGACGAACACUAGCUGGUCUGAGAGGAUGACCAGCCACACUGGGACUGAGACACGGCCCAGACUCCUACGGGGGGUAGCAGUGGGGAAUAUUGGGCAAUGGGGUCAGCACGACGCAGCCAUGCCGCGUGUAUGAAGAAGGCCUUCGGGUUGAAAAGUACUUUCAGUCGGAAGGCGUUACCGAAAGAAGAAGCACCGGCUAAAUCCGUGCCAGCAGCCGCGGUAAUUC